rnacentral:rRNA from 1 species
UACGGGGGGGGCGAGCGUUAUCCGGAAUGAUUGGGCGUAAAGCGUCCGCAGGUGGCAGUUCAAGUCUGCUGUCAAAGACCGGGGCUUAACUUCGGAAAGGCAGUGGAAACUGAACAGCUAGAGUAUGGUAGGGGCAGAGGGAAUUCCUGGUGUAGCGGUGAAAUGCGUAGAGAUCAGGAAGAACAUCGGUGGCGAAGGCGCUCUGCUGGACCAUAACUGACACUCAGGGACGAAAGCUAGGGGAGCGAAUGGG